AUGCAAGACCCUAGAGGUAUGGCGCGAGAGGAUUUCUCAGCGUCGAAGUCACAGAAGAGGAAGGUUGUGUACCGGCCUUUGCCCUCAGUCCAGAUAAAAACUGAACCUGAACUUCUGCGGAGGGACAUUCCACAUUUGUUGGCCAAUACACAGAAGCCACCUAAGAGAAGCUUCAGGAGUGAGCCCCGCCCUCCCAUGCCGCAGUCUGACAGAGGAACUCCGGACUCGCUACCAGAUUCUGGUCCUGCGGAUGAAUAUCGGGCGCUACGGAGGAAGUACAUGAUGCUGGAGGAAGAGAACUACACGCUGGAUGCACAAUUAGGCAUGGCAGAAAAGGAAGCCAAAACUCUUGAGGAUGAGAAGUUUGCAUUGCUGGAUCAGCUUGUUGUCUUGGAAGGUCUUGUGGAGCCUUCGCAGCUGCAGACACAGCGAAGGCUAUAA
rnacentral:rRNA from 1 species